CAGGCACACUCAACCCAUACGUUUGUUCUUCAUUUGCUUGUGUUUUGUGCCCCUUUUUCUCUAUGUUCUGUUGCUAUUUGUAAUUCCAUUCACUUUUGUGUUUUCAUGUUGGUCACUGAUGUGCUGCGAAUCCGGACAAGAAGAGCACUACGCAGGCAAUUCGAUUCCAGCUGCUGCAAGCUCCCCCAUCUAUCAUUAACUUUUCUGAUGACUUGAAAUAUGCAGAAGCAUUUGACUUGUCCAACAAAGACAAGAGAAGCAUUGAAAAUCUGCAGUUACAGCAUGCUCCUAGACGGGUUUGGAUGGCUUCUUCCAUACAUAGGGGUGUAUAACAAGGUACCAUUGAAUAUUGUUAGUCAUUGAUCUAACAUUGAUGUUUGUGUACUUGCUUGAUCCAAUUAAUUCUAAAAUAAACACAACCCUUGAAAUUGCAAUAAACACGUAAGUUUGGCUGGUUCAUACAUUUUUCAGCAAUUUGAGCUACCCUAAAAAUAUUUUGACUUCAGAAAUUUCUCUUGUAAAGUGCUUUGAAAAUUUAUGAAACUACCCAAAAGAGGAGGAGGACCAAUCCAUUUUGGAAAGUAGUUCAGGUAAUUAAUAUCAUUUUCUCUAAUUUUAUCAUACUUAUAUUUAUGCUAAUGCUUGUUUAGCUUGAUCAUAAUACUUUAUAUGUAGUUUCUAAUAAUAAUGAAAAUGCUUUCAUGUGGUCCCCGCAAAAACCCACAAACGUGGAAUGUGAGUUUUAUGUAAUGAGGUAUAUAAAAGACCUCAUUAGAGAUCAAGGCAUCCUAAGAAAACAAAAUUUUAAUGGAAAAAAAGACUUGCACAGAAACCGAACUUGAUGAAGUGAGAGUUGAAUGGAUUAAUUUCGUCCUAAAGAAUAUAAGUUGAAAUCCAACAUGAGAUGAAGAGUCAGUGUGAUGAGAAAAGGUCAGAAAUUUCUGAGAGAGAUGCAAAAUAUGGUCAAAGAAUUCAAGAAUUUAGUUUUUCAAGUUUUCUCAUUUUUUAAUAUAUGUAAGCACAGUUAAAAACUUUUUAUUUAAUUUCUUUGUAUAUAUUUUUUGUCACGCCUCAACAUUUUAAUUAA